CUGUUGGGCUUCAGCACUCGGAGAUCUUGGAGAGGAGAGACCCCUGAGUUUUUCCCUGUUCAUCUGGGGAGGACAAGUUCCCACAGAGCCCUCCUCUACUGGGCAAAGAGUCGCCCCGGAGAGCCCCUUGUGGCCACAUCCUAGUACUGCAGGUUGGCGCUUGAAUGAGCGGAGCCAGGACUGAGGAUGUCCCAGUCACCCUUUGUCACCCCACACUUAGCCUAAUGCCAGAGGUCUGAGAUGAAGGAGGUGAGGGGGUCUUGGUAACGAGAAUGUGCCUCAUCCAAGCUGCAUGGAUCCAUGCCCCUGCACUGGAGUCGCAGAAUGGGGAGCGGCUGCAAGAAAGGUCCCCUGGGAGGCUGGAGAACAGGAGUGGGGUGGAGUUAGUGUCAGGGUCCCUCUGCAGCCUGAAAGUCACUUGAGAAACAAUUGUUGAGCACCUACUAGUGGCAAGAUAGGAGAUCAAGGACCAUGAAGACGUCCGCAUGUGCGGGCACACACACCCCAGUAAGACAAAUCAUAGUGUAGUGGUGGCCUUGGCUGUACAUAGAAAGAGGCAUCCUAGAGAAGGGGAGGUCUGAGCAGAGAGAUGACAGGUUGAGCACUCCUGGCAGAGGGAGUGGCAUGAUGGAGAAAGAGAAUGAGAUGGAGGACAAGUGCAGCGUGCCCAGGUAUAAUGUGCCUAGGGGAUAGAGGGGGUGUGGCAAGUGGGGAGAGGGAUGAGAGUAUGGUGGGAAAUGAGGCUGGAAGGAGAGAUGAGGCCACGACACAGAGGAGAGACUCAGAAUGCUGCAUAACCUCCCUGAGCCCCAUGGUCUUCGUUACUGCAAAUGGGACGUGGAAUCCAGGAAUGAGAGUAUCACAUACAUACAGAAAAGCUCACAAGUGGUAAGGAUACCACUCGACGACAUUCCCAAAAUGAGCAACCCCGUGUAACUAGCAUCUGGCGAAGAAUCAGAACAUCACCCCACCCCUAGAAGUCCCCCUUUCAGUCACUAAAAGGAGGAAGGAGAAAAGGACCACUCUGAGAGAGGACAGGAGAGAGGAAGGCAGCCCCAGAAGCAAGAGCCUAUUCUUCUGACCCUAAACUGAGAUAUGCUGAGUAACUGCAAAAGGUAACUUGAGAACGGCUGCUCCUGGCUAUUAAGGUCAUAGUCCAGCAAACCCUUAACACGUGCCCCAAAAAAGACCUUAAGACCAACUUCCCAGGGAUUCCGGGACCACCUCACCACUUGCCCGAGAGGAGAACACCCAAACUGAACCCUCCAUCUCCAGGCACAUGUUAAACUACAUUUUCCAGCCCUCUUGCUUUGAGGCUGGCCAUGUCACUGAGUUCUGGCAAUGAAACGGGCACAGAAGUGAUUUUUGUCACUUUCAGGCCUGAUCCAUAAAAACCUCGAUCCGUCAUCCCCUUUUCCAUCAUCCCUAUCUGGAUGACCCAGGGCACCACGAAGCCAUGUGAUGAAGAUGGGGAGAGCUUGGUCCCUGAAUGAUUACAUGGAGCAGAGCACCCUUCACCCUGCCCGCUGCCACCUACACUGAACUAUGACUUGGAUGAAAUAAACCUUCCCUGUGUUAAUCCGGUGAGAGUUUAGCUUAUCCUGACUAACAGCACCAUGAAGGUCUGAAGCCAAGUCCAUCAAACUCUGAAGACCAUCCUCUCUCAUGAAGCCAUAUUGCCACACAAUAUAGCAGAAAUAUAAAAGUCAAACUAUAAAAUAUUAUCUAAUU
ensembl:lncRNA